UACGAAGGGGGCUAGCGUUGUUCGGAAUUACUGGGCGUAAAGCGCACGUAGGCGGAUACUUAAGUCAGGGGUGAAAUCCCGGGGCUCAACCCCGGAACUGCCUUUGAUACUGGGUAUCUCGAGUCCGGAAGAGGUGAGUGGAAUUCCGAGUGUAGAGGUGAAGUUCGUAGAUAUUCGGAGGAACACCAGUGGCGAAGGCGGCUCACUGGUCCGGUACUGACGCUGAGACGCGAAAGCGUGGGGAGCAAACAGG
rnacentral:rRNA from 1 species